rnacentral:rRNA from 1 species
GCGGCAGGCCUAACACAUGCAAGUCGAACGGUAACAGGAAACAGCUUGCUGUUUCGCUGACGAGUGGCGGACGGGUGAGUAAUGUCUGGGAAACUGCCUGAUGGAGGGGGAUAACUACUGGAAACGGUAGCUAAUACCGCAUAACGUCGCAAGACCAAAGAGGGGGACCUUCGGGCCUCUUGCCAUCGGAUGUGCCCAGAUGGGAUUAGCUAGUAGGUGGGGUAAAGGCUCACCUAGGCGACGAUCCCUAGCUGGUCUGAGAGGAUGACAAGCCACACUGGAACUGAGACACGGUCCAGACUCCUACGGGAGGCAGCAGUGGGGAAUAUUGCACAAUGGGCGCAAGCCUGAUGCAGCCAUGCCGCGUGUAUGAAGAAGGCCUUCGGGUUGUAAAGUACUUUCAGCGGGGAGGAAGGGAGUAAAGUUAAUACCUUUGCUCAUUGACGUUACCCGCAAAAGAAGCACCGGCUAACUCCGUGCCAGCAGCCGCGGUAAUACGGAGGGUGCAAGCGUUAAUCGGAAUUACUGGGCGUAAAGCGCACGCAGGCGGUUUGUUAAGUCAGAUGUGAAAUCCCCGGGCUCAACCUGGGAACUGCAUCUGAUACUGGCAAGCUUGAGUCUCGUAGAGGGGGGUAGAAUUCCAGGUGUAGCGGUGAAAUGCGUAGAGAUCUGGAGGAAUACCGGUGGCGAAGGCGGCCCCCUGGACGAAGACUGACGCUCAGGUGCGAAAGCGUGGGGAGCAAACAGGAUUAGAUACCCUGGUAGUCCACGCCGUAAACGAUGUCGACUUGGAGGUUGUGCCCUUGAGGCGUGGCUUCCGGAGCUAACGCGUUAAGUCGACCGCCUGGGGAGUACGGCCGCAAGGUUAAAACUCAAAUGAAUUGACGGGGGCCCGCACAAGCGGUGGGGCAUGUGGUUUAAUUCGAUGCAACGCGAAGAACCUUACCUGGUCUUGACAUCCACGGAAGUUUUCAGAGAUGAGAAUGUGCCUUCGGGAACCGUGAGACAGGUGCUGCAUGGCUGUCGUCAGCUCGUGUUGUGAAAUGUUGGGUUAAGUCCCGCAACGAGCGCAACCCUUAUCCUUUGUUGCCAGCGGUCCGGCCGGGAACUCAAAGGAGACUGCCAGUGAUAAACUGGAGGAAGGUGGGGAUGACGUCAAGUCAUCAUGGCCCUUACGACCAGGGCUACACACGUGCUACAAUGGCGCAUACAAAGAGAAGCGACCUCGCGAGAGCAAGCGGACCUCAUAAAGUGCGUCGUAGUCCGGAUUGGAGUCUGCAACUCGACUCCAUGAAGUCGGAAUCGCUAGUAAUCGUGGAUCAGAAUGCCACGGUGAAUACGUUCCCGGGCCUUGUACACACCGCCCGUCACACCAUGGGAGUGGGUUGCAAAAGAAGUAGGUAGCUUAACCUUCGGGAGGGCGCUUACCACUUUGUGAUUCAUGACUGGGGUGAAGU